rnacentral:rRNA from 1 species
AUACGUAGGUGGCAAGCGUUGUCCGGAAUUAUUGGGGGUAAAGCGCAUGUAGGCGGUUUGGUAAGUCGGUCGUGAAAAUGCGGUGCUUAACGCCGUAUGGCGAUUGAAACUGCUGAACUUGAGUGCAGGAGAGGAAAGGGGAACUCCCAGUGUAGCGGUGAAAUGCGUAGGUAUUGGGAAGAACACCGGUGGCGAAGGCGCCUUUCUGGACUGUGUCUGACGCUCAGAUGCGAAAGCCAGGGUAGCGAACGGGAUUAGAUACCCCGGUAGUCCGGGCCGUAAACGAUGGGUACUAGGUGUGGGAGGUAUCGACUCCUUCCGUGCCGGAGUUAACGCAAUAAGUACCCCGCCUGGGGAGUACGGCCGCAAGGCUUAAACUCAAAGGAAUUGACGGGG